GACGAACGCUGGCGGCGUGCUUAACACAUGCAAGUCGAACGGAAAGGCCCUGCUUUUGUGGGGUGCUCGAGUGGCGAACGGGUGAGUAACACGUGAGUAACCUGCCCUUGACUUUGGGAUAACUUCAGGAAACUGGGGCUAAUACCGGAUAGGAGCUCCUGCUGCAUGGUGGGGGUUGGAAAGUUUCGGCGGUUGGGGAUGGACUCGCGGCUUAUCAGCUUGUUGGUGGGGUAGUGGCUUACCAAGGCUUUGACGGGUAGCCGGCCUGAGAGGGUGACCGGCCACAUUGGGACUGAGAUACGGCCCAGACUCCUACGGGAGGCAGCAGUGGGGAAUAUUGCACAAUGGGCGGAAGCCUGAUGCAGCAACGCCGCGUGCGGGAUAACGGCCUUCGGGUUGUAAACCGCUUUCGCCUGUGACGAAGCGUGAGUGACGGUAAUGGGUAGAGAAGCACCGGCUAACUACGUG
rnacentral:rRNA from 1 species